UACGUAGGGGCUAGCGUUAUCCGGAUUUACUGGGGUAAAGGAUGCGUAGGUGGUUUCUUAAGUCAGAGGUGAAAGGCUACGGCUCAACCGUAGUAAGCCUUUGAAACUGGGAAACUUGAGUGCAGGAGAGGAGAGUGGAAUUCCUAGUGUAACGGUGAAAUGCGUAGAUAUUAGGAGGAACACCAGUUGCGAAGGCGGCUCUCUGGACUGUAACUGACACUGAGGCACGAAAGCGUGGGGAGCAAACAGGAUUAGAUACCCGUGUAGUCCCUGAG
rnacentral:rRNA from 1 species